rnacentral:rRNA from 1 species
AAUAUCAGUCAUGCAUAGCAUAUCAAUAAGCGGAGGAAAAGAAACUAACAAGGAUUCCCUUAGUAACGGCGAGUGAAGCGGGAAGAGCUCAAAUUUGAAAUCUUCAAGGUUUUACCUUGACGAAUUGUAGUUUAAAGAAGUGUUUUCUGUUGAAGUUUUGGUAAAAGUUCUUUGGAAUAGGACAUCAUAGAGGGUGAGAAUCCCGUAUUUGACCAUUACUUUCAGCUUUGUGAUACACUUUCAAAGAGUCGGAUUGUUUGGGAAUGCAGUCCAAAAUGGGUGGUAAAUUUCAUCUAAAGCUAAAUAUUGGCGAGAGACCGAUAGCGAACAAGUACCGUGAGGGAAAGAUGAAAAGAACUUUGAAAAGAGAGUUAAACAGUACGUGAAAUUGUCAAAAGGGAAGCGUUUGACACCAGUGUUGUUUUCUCGAAAAUCAAUUAAAAAGAGUUGGAUUUUGUGUUGUAUUGACUUUAUCAGCUUUCUUCACUCUUUUCCAGCUUUUUUUAAUGCACUUUUCGUUUAACAAGUCAACAUCAGUUUCUUUUGUUGUAAAAAGGUCAUUGGAAGGUGGCUUUCUCUUCGGAGAAAGUGUUUAUAGCCUUUGACUCAUGCAAUCGGAGAGACUGAGGUCUGCAGCGUAGAUCCUUCGGGGUUAGAUACAUUUGUGCUAAGUUAUAGCUUUUCAUAGACAACUUGUUGACUAUGUUUAGUCUUGUAGCUUACUCGCUUAUGCUAUUUUACCUACGCUUAGGAUGUUGAACUCUAUCACACACAG